ACGGGUUUUUUCCCAACCUCAAAAUCUUGUCCAUACGGGCCUCGAAAUGAUCACGACCCUAUGUUGACCGAUGUCUUCUUUUAUUUGGCAUAACCACCUACACAAUCAUGCCGGCUUCCAUAGGAUUUCGACACUUAUUAGUACUUCGCAGCACGUUAGUCACUCCUUGCUACGAAAGAAUGGUCAAGCCACAUGAGGCUUGAACCCAUGACGGGCAUUUUAUUAAGUCGUAUGAGUAGACUAACCACGGGAUAUUCUCGAUGUUGACGAAUGCAUACAUGCGCAUUAUAGGUAGAAUAUAGUCAAGCCUACCAUACCAUGUCCCUUAAAUUAAUAACAAAACAUCAAAUGAGGUAAUACUUCCACACGAAUGUUAACCUACUUUUUUGUUGCUACAACCUUGUUCGGUAAACACUGUACUCGAACACGAACAACCAGGUCAUGUAAUCGCUAUUUAUCGUAGGUAUGGUGUCGCUAUAUUUUGGACCAGUGUAUCAACCAUGAAUCAAUAUAAAAUAAGAAUCGCUGUUCAGAAACACGCUACACUGUUUUCAAAGAUCAGACGGGCAAAAUGAAACUACUAUUCCACAUUCUUCUCGUCGUGCUCAUCGUAGCAACAUGCUUCAUAUGUGAGGCUGUAUCUGCUCCCAGCGAUACCGUAAAGCGUGAAGCUGCCCCCGAUACAUGCAGAUUUAUUCAUGGAAUGAUGUAUUGUACUACAGGUUUCUUUGGGUUGGGAUAAAUGGUUGUUAAUUCAAAAACAUUUUUGCCCGAAUUCAAGAUUACCCUGAUUAUUUGAACAAUGGUUGGAGAAAAUAAAUAAAUGAAUAUUUUAUAAAUCGUCUUAUAAACUUA